rnacentral:rRNA from 1 species
UACGGAAGGCAGCAGUGGGGAAUAUUGCACAAUGGGCGCAAGCCUGAUGCAGCCAUGCCGCGUGUAUGAAAAAGGCCUUCGGGUUGUAAAGUACUUUCAGUCGUGAGGAAGGUGUUAAGGUUAAUAACCUUAGCAAUUGACGUUAGCGACAGAGGAAGCACCGGCUAACUCCGUGCCAGCAGCCGCGGUAAUACGGAGGGUGCGAGCGUUAAUCGGAAUUACUGGGCGUAAAGGGCACGCAGGCGGUUAAUUAAGUUGGAUGUGAAAUCCCCGGGCUUAACCUGGGAAUGGCAUUCAAGACUGGUUAGCUAGAGUCUUGUAGAGGGGGUAGAAUUCCAUGUGUAGCGGUGAAAUGCGUAGAGAUGUGGAGGAAUACCGGUGGGCGAAGGCGGGCCCCUGGGACAAAGGACUGACGCUCAUGUGCGAAAGCGUGGGGAGCAAACAGGGAUUAGAUACC